rnacentral:rRNA from 1 species
GAUGAACGCUGGCGGCGUGCCUAAUACAUGCAAGUCGAGCGAAUUGACAGAGGUGCUUGCACCUCUCGAUUUUAGCGGCGGACGGGUGAGUAACACGUGGGUAACCUACCUAUAAGACUGGGAUAACUUCGGGAAACCGGAGCUAAUACCGGAUAAUAUUUAGCUUCGCGUGAAGCAAUAGUGAAAGACGGUUCUGCUGUCACUUAUAGAUGGACCUGCGGUGUAUUAGCUAGUUGGUGAGGUAACGGCUCACCAAGGCAACGAUACAUAGCCGACCUGAGAGGGUGAUCGGCCACACUGGGACUGAGACACGGCCCAGACUCCUACGGGAGGCAGCAGUAGGGAAUCUUCGGCAAUGGACGAAAGUCUGACGGAGCAACGCCGCGUGAGUGAAGAAGGUUUUCGGAUCGUAAAACUCUGUUGUAAGGGAAGAACAAGUACGUUAGUAACUGAACGUACCUUGACGGUACCUUACCAGAAAGCCACGGCUAACUACGUGCCAGCCGCCGCCGUAACAC